rnacentral:rRNA from 1 species
GGAAAGGCGCGCGAUACAGGGUGACAGCCCCGUACACAAAAAUGCACAUGCUGUGAGCUCGAUGAGUAGGGCGGGACACGUGGUAUCCUGUCUGAAUAUGGGGGGACCAUCCUCCAAGGCUAAAUACUCCUGACUGACCGAUAGUGAACCAGUACCGUGAGGGAAAGGCGAAAAGAACCCCGGCGAGGGGAGUGAAAAAGAACCUGAAACCGUGUACGUACAAGCAGUGGGAGCACGCUUAGGCGUGUGACUGCGUACCUUUUGUAUAAUGGGUCAGCGACUUAUAUUCUGUAGCAAGGUUAACCGAAUAGGGGAGCCGAAGGGAAACCGAGUCUUAACUGGGCGUUAAGUUGCAGGGUAUAGACCCGAAACCCGGUGAUCUAGCCAUGGGCAGGUUGAAGGUUGGGUAACACUAACUGGAGGACCGAACCGACUAAUGUUGAAAAAUUAGCGGAUGACUUGUGGCUGGGGGUGAAAGGCCAAUCAAACCGGGAGAUAGCUGGUUCUCCCCGAAAGCUAUUUAGGUAGCGCCUCGUGAAUUCAUCUCCGGGGGUAGAGCACUGUUUCGGCAAGGGGGUCAU